rnacentral:rRNA from 1 species
UACGAAGGGGGCUAGCGUUGCUCGGAAUUACUGGGCGUAAAGCGCACGUAGGCGGCUUUCUAAGUCGGAGGUGAAAUCCUGGAGCUCAACUCCAGAACUGCCUUCGAUACUGGAGAGCUUGAGUCCGGGAGAGGUGAGUGGAACUGCGAGUGUAGAGGUGAAAUUCGUAGAUAUUCGCAAGAACACCAGUGGCGAAGGCGGCUAUCUGGACCGUAACUGACGCUGAGGCGCGAAAGCGUGGGGAGCAAACAGG